rnacentral:rRNA from 1 species
GGGACCUGCGGAAGGAUCAUUACCGAGUGAGGGCCCUCUGGGUCCAACCUCCCACCCGUGUUUAUUUUACCUUGUUGCUUCGGCGGGCCCGCCUUAACUGGCCGCCGGGGGGCUUACGCCCCCGGGCCCGCGCCCGCCGAAGACACCCUCGAACUCUGUCUGAAGAUUGUAGUCUGAGUGAAAAUAUAAAUUAUUUAAAACUUUCAACAACGGAUCUCUUGGUUCCGGCAUCGAUGAAGAACGCAGCGAAAUGCGAUACGUAAUGUGAAUUGCAAAUUCAGUGAAUCAUCGAGUCUUUGAACGCACAUUGCGCCCCCUGGUAUUCCGGGGGGCAUGCCUGUCCGAGCGUCAUUGCUGCCCUCAAGCACGGCUUGUGUGUUGGGCCCCGUCCUCCGAUCCCGGGGGACGGGCCCGAAAGGCAGCGGCGGCACCGCGUCCGGUCCUCGAGCGUAUGGGGCUUUGUCACCCGCUCUGUAGGCCCGGCCGGCGCUUGCCGAUCAACCCAAAUUUUUAUCCAGGUUGACCUCGGAUCAGGUAGGGAUCACCCGCUGAACUUAAGCAUAUCAUUAAAGCGGAGGAA